CCUGGCUCAGGAUGAACGCUAGCUACAGGCUUAACACAUGCAAGUCGAGGGGCAGCAUGGUCUUAGCUUGCUAAGGCCGAUGGCGACCGGCGCACGGGUGAGUAACACGUAUCCAACCUGCCGUCUACUCUUGGACAGCCUUCUGAAAGGAAGAUUAAUACAAGAUGGCAUCAUGAGUCCGCAUGUUCACAUGAUUAAAGGUAUUCCGGUAGACGAUGGGGAUGCGUUCCAUUAGAUAGUAGGCGGGGUAACGGCCCACCUAGUCUUCGAUGGAUAGGGGUUCUGAGAGGAAGGUCCCCCACAUUGGAACUGAGACACGGUCCAAACUCCUACGGGAGGCAGCAGUGAGGAAUAUUGGUCAAUGGGCGAGAGCCUGAACCAGCCAAGUAGCGUGAAGGAUGACUGCCCUAUGGGUUGUAAACUUCUUUUAUAAAGGAAUAAAGUCGGGUAUGGAUACCCGUUUGCAUGUACUUUAUGAAUAAGGAUCGGCUAACUCCGUGCCAGCAGCCGCGGUAAUACGGAGGAUCCGAGCGUUAUCCGGAUUUAUUGGGUUUAAAGGGAGCGUAGAUGGAUGUUUAAGUCAGUUGUGAAAGUUUGCGGCUCAACCGUAAAAUUGCAGUUGAUACUGGAUAUCUUGAGUGCAGUUGAGGCAGGCGGAAUUCGUGGUGUAGCGGUGAAAUGCUUAGAUAUCACGAAGAACUCCGAUUGCGAAGGCAGCCUGCUAAGCUGCAACUGACAUUGAGGCUCGAAAGUGUGGGUAUCAAACAGGAUUAGAUACCCUGGUAGUCCACACGGUAAACGAUGAAUACUCGCUGUUUGCGAUAUACUGCAAGCGGCCAAGCGAAAGCGUUAAGUAUUCCACCUGGGGAGUACGCCGGCAACGGUGAAACUCAAAGGAAUUGACGGGGGCCCGCACAAGCGGAGGAACAUGUGGUUUAAUUCGAUGAUACGCGAGGAACCUUACCCGGGCUUAAAUUGCAGAUGAAUUACGGUGAAAGCCGUAAGCCGCAAGGCAUCUGUGAAGGUGCUGCAUGGUUGUCGUCAGCUCGUGCCGUGAGGUGUCGGCUUAAGUGCCAUAACGAGCGCAACCCUUGUUGUCAGUUACUAACAGGUUCCGCUGAGGACUCUGACAAGACUGCCAUCGUAAGAUGUGAGGAAGGUGGGGAUGACGUCAAAUCAGCACGGCCCUUACGUCCGGGGCUACACACGUGUUACAAUGGGGGGUACAGAGGGCCGCUACCACGCGAGUGGAUGCCAAUCCCAAAAACCUCUCUCAGUUCGGACUGGAGUCUGCAACCCGACUCCACGAAGCUGGAUUCGCUAGUAAUCGCGCAUCAGCCACGGCGCGGUGAAUACGUUCCCGGGCCUUGUACACACCGCC
rnacentral:rRNA from 1 species